rnacentral:rRNA from 1 species
CCUACGGGCGGCUGCAGUGGGGAAUAUUGGACAAUGGGCGCAAGCCUGAUCCAGCCAUGCCGCGUGAGUGAUGAAGGUCUUCGGAUCGUAAAGCUCUGUGGGAAGGGAAGAAAAAAGUAUACCUCAUACGUAUGCUCUUGACGGUACCUUCUUAGCAAGCACCGGCUAACUCUGUGCCAGCAGCCGCGGUAAUACAGAGGGUGCAAACGUGGCUCGGAAGCAUUGGGCGUAAAGCGCACGUAGGAGGUCUAAGCCCUCGGCUUAACCGAGGAAGUGCAUCCGAAACUGCCAGGCUUGAGUAUGGAAGAGGGUCUCGGAAUUCCCGGUGUAGAGGGGAAAUUCGUAGAUAUCGGGAGGAACACCAGUGGCGAAGGCGGAGACCUGGGCCAAUACUGACGCUGAGGUGCGAAAGCGUGGGGAGCAAACAGGAUUAGAUACCCGAGUAGUC